rnacentral:rRNA from 1 species
UACAGAGGUCUCAAGCGUUGUUCGGAUUCAUUGGGCGUAAAGGGUGCGUAGGUGGCGCUGUAAGUCGGGUGUGAAAUUUCGGAGCUUAACUCCGAAACUGCAUUCGAUACUGCGGUGCUUGAGGACUGAAGAGGAGACUGGAAUUCAUGGUGUAGCAGUGAAAUGCGUAGAGAUCAUGAGGAAGACCAGUGGCGAAGGCGGGUCUCUGGACAGUUCCUGACACUGAGGCACGAAGGCCAGGGGAGCAAACGGG